rnacentral:lncRNA from 1 species
CUAUAGGGGCAGUAUUUAUGGGGUCAGUAUUUAUGGGGCCCUAUAGGGCCUAUAGGGCCAUAUAGGGGGCUCGGGGGCCCUAUAGGGUAUUUAUGGGGCCCUAUAGGGGUUGUAGGGCCAUAUAGGGGGCUGCGGGGGCCCUAUAGGGGCAGUAUUUGUAGGGGCAGUAUUUACGGGGCCCUAUAGGGGCUGUGGGGGCCCUAUAGGGGCAGUAUUUAUAGGGCAGUAUUUACGGGGCCCUAUAGGGCCAUAUAGAGGCUCGGGGGCCCUAUAGGGUAUUUAUGGGGCCCUAUAGGGGCUGUAGGGCCCUAUAGGGGCAGUAUUUAUGGGGUCCUAUAGGGCCAUAUAGGGGGCUCGGGGGCCCUAUAGGGUAUUUAUGGGGCUCUAUAGGGGCUGCGGGGCCCUAUAGGGGCAGUAUUUAUGGGGCCCUAUAGGGGGGGGUUCUGGGACCCUAUAGGGGGGCUCUGGGACCCUAUAGGGGGCCCUAUAGGGGCUGUAGGGCCCUAUAGGGGCAGUAUUUAUGGGGUCCUAUAGGGCCAUAUAGGGGGCUCGGGGGCCCUAUAGGGUAUUUAUGGGGCUCUAUAGGGGCUGCGGGGCCCUAUAGGGGCAGUAUUUAUGGGGCCCUAUAGGGGGGGGUUCUGGGACCCUAUAGGGGG